rnacentral:rRNA from 1 species
UACGGGGGGGGCAAGCGUUGUUCGGAAUUACUGGGCGUAAAGGGCUCGUAGGUGGCCAACUAAGUCAGACGUGAAAUCCCUCGGCUUAACCGGGGAACUGCGUCUGAUACUGGAUGGCUUGAGUUCGGGAGAGGGAUGCGGAAUUCCAGGUGUAGCGGUGAAAUGCGUAGAUAUCUGGAGGAAUACCGGUGGCGAAGGCGGCAUCCUGGACCGGCAUUGACGCUGAGGAGCGAAAGCCAGGGGAGCCAAAGCGGG